ensembl:lncRNA
AGGUGAUGAGGGGAGGGGGAUGGGUUCCAUGGGGUAGCAGAAAAGCUUUGACGAGCAGAGCUGUCUGACUAAAUAAAUUUGUUAGGAAAACCUAGUGUGGACGGGAGUGAGGUGGAAGAUGACCGCCGCGUUGCUCUGGGUUUGCUGUUUAGGUGUACGGAGUCUUUAGACGCACACGCACGCUUGCUGUAAAAAUUAAAAGCGCACACAUUCACUCACACAGGCAAACGCACAACACACCGAUGAGACGACAACGAAAGCACUCCAGGGCAGGACGCACACACACACAGCUUUGUCGACGUUAGCUUUGCAUGAACUGUUUCCCACCUUCGUCUGAAUCUCGUUUGCUCGGCUUAGUGACUAGUGCUCACCCAGCUCUCGAUGGAGAAGCAUACACAAACGGGCACACACACAUACAUGCACACACAUACAUACGCACACAUACAUACGCACACGCACACACAUACAUGCACAAACGCACAUACAUGCACGCACACAUACACACACACAUAGACGCACACACCCUGAUGGCCACUCCAGGGUUCGUGCUAGUCUCGGCUAGUUUGUUCUCCAGUGCAAUAAGCAUAGUAUUGCUCAACCGAAUACAAAGGCUGCAUUCUCCUCGGACCGUCCCCCAUUAUGGCAGCAGUGAAGACAAAGCCAUGUUGUAUUGAUCGUGGUCCGCUGCUCUCCCUCCUCACUGUUCUCUCCCUCAUCUCGCUGCGGUUCCAAACCCUCCCAUGAUGCACUUGGACCUUGGGCCGCAUUCAAAGGCCCGUUGAUUACUGUCUCCUCGCUCAACCCAACGCACAAUCCAGCGUCCCGCAGCCCGGGCGCGGGACGUAGUUCAGCUUCACGCAGCUUUCAUUCUCUUAAACAUUCUAAACUCAAAACAUUCUCGUGUGUUGUUGAGAUAUGCUGGUUGUAGAGGAAACACCACUCAUCUGAAUCACUUUAUUUAAACAACACAAAUGGUAUAUAAUCUAUGUUUGGUCCUUCAUGUUAAUAUCUUAUAUAUUGCUGCACUAUGUACAUUUAAAGGUAUAUAUGUGAUAUAAAGUCUCCUCCCAAGAGGUUCCCUAUCUCCCUCUUACACUUGAAUAUUCAUGAUAACGAGCCACUGGUUUUAACGAGUCCUACCAGAAACACAACAGGAUGUCAAGCGGUCCUGGGUGAUGAGUUCGAUCUGUGUGGGCUAUCUCUGUUGAACUGAAUGACGAGUUGCUGAUGUGUGAAUAACUGAAAAGUUUGGAUUUUACUUUUGUUUAUUUUACAUUUUUAUAUUCAAUUGUCCGAGGUUUGGAUUUCCAGCUCGUUAAAUGUAUGAAGAGCGAAGCAAGUAAUGUGAAGUGAUAACUGGCCCUCCCCAAAGCCGUUGGUCGGUGAUCAGUACUCCGUUUAUGUCCUUUAUUUAAUGCAGUGAUUGCCGAAAAUGCCUCCACUAACAACUAACACCUGUACGCACAAUCACCCCAAUGUACCAAAAAAGUAUAAUUAUGUUUUUUGUUACAAUUCCCAUCUUCCUGGUUUAAAUUGUCUUUCAGUGUUUGUGAUCGCAGAACCUGUAAAAGGCAGAACAUAGAAGCAGAAUCUGUAGAAGUAGAACCUGUAGAAGCAGAACACAAAGAAGCAGAACACAUAGAAGCAGAACCUGUAGAAGCGAUCGGCUCCUCUCCAUCAGUCUGUUCAGAGCUCUAAAUGUGACCGAUGAGACGUUAGCCCCCAUAUCGUUGUGUUUGUCCUCAGCUGUGAUGUUUCCAGUGAGCGAUUUGUCGUUUGGAGAUUAAAUAAAGUCAUAUUACUAAUGGGACUGAUCUCAUCAGAAAUAGAUGCAUUAAUCCAACAUGACCAGCUUUAGUGAUUGUCCUGUGAUCUAAUGGGUAAACAUUAAGUUCCAACCAGAGUUCUCCUGCAGUGCCAUCGCUUGUCAGGUUCACCGUGAGAUUAACGCACUUGCAAUAUACAUGUUACAAUAAUUAUUAAAGAUUACAUUAUAUUUA